rnacentral:rRNA from 1 species
AUUGAACGCUGGCGGCAGGCCUAACACAUGCAAGUCGAGCGGAUGAAGGGAGCUUGCUCCUGGAUUCAGCGGCGGACGGGUGAGUAAUGCCUAGGAAUCUGCCUGGUAGUGGGGGAUAACGUCAGGUAACGGGCGCUAAUACCGCAUACGUUCUGAGGGAGAAAGUGGGGGAUCUUCGGACCUCACGCUAUCAGAUGAGCCUAGGUCGGAUUAGCUAGUUGGUGGGGUAAAGGCCUACCAAGGCGACGAUCCGUAACUGGUCUGAGAGGAUGACCAGUCACACUGGAACUGAGACACGGUCCAGACUCCUACGGGAGGCACCAGUGGGGAAUAUUGGACAAUGGGCGAAGGCCUGAUCCAGCCAUGCCGCGUGUGUGAAGAAGGUCUUCGGAUUGUAAAGCACUUUAAGUUGGGAGGAAGGGGAGUAAGUUAAUACCUUGCUGUUUUGACGGUACCAACAGAAUAAGCACCGGCUAACUUCGUG